AGAGUUUGAUCCUGGCUCAGAACGAACGUUGGCGGCGUGGAUUAGGCAUGCAAGUCGAACGAAUCCCUGGGGGCUUGCUCCCAGGGGGAAGUGGCGAAAGGGGCAGUAAGGCAUGGGUAACCUACCCCGGGGACCGGGAUAGCCCUCCUAACGGAGGGGUAAUACCGGGCGAUGUGGCGAGGGGACAUCUUCUUGCCACGAAAUGAGUUUCGCCUCGGGAGGGGCUCAUGUGGUAUUAGCUUGUUGGUGAGGUAACGGCUCACCAAGGCCAAGAUGCCUAGCGGGUGUGAGAGCACGACCCGCGCCACUGGCACUGAGACACUGGCCAGACUCCUACGGGAGGCUGCAGUCGAGGAUCUUCGGCGAUGGGCGCAAGCCUGACCGAGCGACGCCGCGUGUGCGAUGAAGGCCUUCGGGUUGUAAAGCACUGUCGAGGGGGAGGAAAGCCCGUAAGGGUUUGACCUAUCCCUGGAGGAAGCACGGGCUAAGUUCGUGCCAGCAGCCGCGGUAAGACGAACCGUGCGAACGUUGUUCGGAUUCACUGGGCUUAAAGGGCGCGUAGGCGGGCGGUCAAGUCAGGGGUGAAAUCUUUCGGCUCAACCGGAAAAGUGCCUUUGAUACUGGCCGUCUCGAGGGAGGUAGGGGCAUGCGGAACUUCCGGUGGAGCGGUGAAAUGCGUAGAUAUCGGAAGGAACGCCGGUGGCGAAAGCGGCGUGCUGGACCUCUUCUGACGCUGAGGCGCGAAAGCCAGGGGAGCAAACGGGAUUAGAUACCCCGGUAGUCCUGGCCCUAAACG
rnacentral:rRNA from 1 species